rnacentral:rRNA from 1 species
ACUCCUACGGGAGGCAGCAGUGGGGAAUAUUGCACAAUGGGGGAAACCCUGAUGUAGCCAUGCCGCGUGUGUGAAGAAGGCCUUCGGGUUGUAAAGCACUUUCAGUAGGGAGGAAGGUAGUGUAGUUAACACCUGCAUUAUUUGACGUUACCUACAGAAGAAGCACCGGCUAACUCCGUGCCAGCAGCCGCGGUAAUACGGAGGGGUGCGAGCGUUAAUCGGAAUUACUGGGCGUAAAGCGCAUGCAGGCGGCCUGUUAAGUCAGAUGUGAAAGCCCGGGGGCUUAACCUCGGAAUUGCAUUUGAAACUGGCAGGCUAGAGUCUUGUAGAGGGGGUAGAAUUUCAGGUGUAGCGGUGAAAUGCGUAGAGAUCUGAAGGAAUACCAGUGGCGAAGGCGGCCCCCUGGACAAAGACUGACGCUCAGAUGCGAAAGCGUGGGGAGCAAACAGGAUUAGAUACCCUGGUAGGAUA